rnacentral:rRNA from 1 species
UACGUAGGUGGCAAGCGUUAUCCGGAAUUACUGGGUGUAAAGGGUGAGUAGGCGGCAUGGUAAGCCAGAUGUGAAAGCCUUGGGCUUAACCCGAGGAUUGCAUUUGGAACUAUCAAGCUAGAGUACAGGAGAGGAAAGCGGAAUUCCUAGUGUAGCGGUGAAAUGCGUAGAUAUUAGGAAGAACACCAGUGGCGAAGGCGGCUUUCUGGACUGAAACUGACGCUGAGGUACGAAAGCGUGGGGAGCGAACAGG